rnacentral:lncRNA from 7 species
GACAAUGAAGACUGAGGUGUCUGCUUUGCAGUUUUUUUUUUUCUUUUCUUGUCUUUUUUUUUUUUUUUCCUAAUCAUGUGGACAUCUCUGAGAAUGAGGGGACUGGGUGACUUUGCAGUGUCUGCUUUCUAAGUUUCAAAGUGACUUUCCAGGCAAGCUGCGCAUAUCUUGGGAUCUUCACAGCACAGUGGCUGGGAAGGCAGGCGGACCCGUCUAUCAGCUUCUCCCUGGUGGGAUUCUUGCGGGGGCAGGGAUCGAGUCAAACCUUGGAAAUGACGUCAUUCUGAACUCAUCUGCCUUUAUCCAGAAGACUACCAAAGCAAACCAGAGGACCAGAGAACAGCAGCUGCUCUGGACAAAGAGGGGAGGACACCCACACCCACAUACCAAGUUCUGGUUGACUUCUACAGCAGAAGAAGCAGGAGACACAAGAAGGGGAAGACACAAGGAAGCUGGGCAUGAUGGCCAAGUGUUAGAGGGUUACACUACUGCCUUCUGCUUCUGAUCUGAUUGAGUCACAGCUGAGAUGUGGCACCAGGACUCUUGGCUACACUCAGUUCUCUCAGUUUGACUGAGUACUCUGGGAUCACAGAAGUGACUACAUGAUGGAUGCUGUGUGAGCUGCAUGUGAGUUUUGUGAGUUAUGAGUCACAGGUGGCUCCAACCCUGCUUUCUGUCCUUCAGUCUCCCAUUCAGCACCCAACAGAAGAUGCUAGGCACCACUCUGCAUCCUCAAGGGAUAUCGUAUGAAGCAAGAGGCAGGUUUUCUUGGGUCCACAGCAACAUCAAAAAAGAGCAAAACGGACAUGCAAAUAAAUCUAUUUUAGCAUUUGAGACAGACGUCCAACUGAGGAACAUGAUCAGAAGAUGCCAGCCAGUAUAAACAUAUUUUGAAAAUAUGUAUUUCAUUUCUUAUAUAUGUACAUUUGUUCUCGUCGAAAAUAAAGAUCAAAUCAAAUUUCAGA